UUUUGCUCAAUUCAAAAUAGUUAUUAGUUAGAUGAUUCUUUUUACUUUUCUCAUUUCAGGUAGGUUUAUUAGCAUCUCCAGGGACAGUUGAAAGCAUUGCUGAUCAUCUUCGUUGGAUUAUUAGCCGCUUUGCAGGUAGGUUUAUUAGCAUCUCCAGGGACAGUUGAAAGCCUCGUUGAUCAUUUUCGUUGGAUUUUUGGCCGCUUUGCAGGUAGGUUUAUUAGCGUCUCCAGGGACAUUUGAAAGCAUUGCUG
rnacentral:sRNA from 1 species